AGCCAUUUGCUGUGCUUCAGUAUUCAAUUUGUGAGAAGAUUACAUAUAGAGAGUCCUGUAGUCACUGAUAGAUCAGUAUCUUGGCGAAGGAAAUUAUUUCAGGGAUAAUGAAACUGGACUGGUCAACUUCACGUUAGUUUCUAGUCAGAUUUGCUUUCUAGUUCUCAUGCAUGGAUGAGGCAGCUGUGUUUUGAGCACACCACUUCAGAGGAAUGUAUGAGAGACCAUAUCUCUCUGGCCAUAUUCAACAUCGGAGUUAUAGGCAUCACUGUAAGGCUGCUGAACAGCAAACAAUCCACUGGUUCACUGCAGGAGACUAGACUGAAAAAUUUUCCCUGCUGAGUGGGGCUGCAGGCAUAUCUGUUUCAUUAACUGUCAGGCUCUUCAUCCUCUGUGUCCUUCCAGGAAGCUCAUGUGUUCCAUGGCUUGGAGUAGGGGAGAAGGAGCAAACAAAAUGUAAAGAACACAGUUCUUCAAUGAUCACCUACCAAAAAAGAAAGGAGAACAACAUUUUUGCCACUUGGCAAUAUUGAAUAUGAUCUUUUAUUCCUUAUAAUAUGGAUAGAACAGCAAAUCCUAGGAGAAUUGAACCUCUGCAUUAACCCUUACAUUUCAUCUCCAUUUGAUGCCAUGAUGGACAUCACCAUUUUAAAAACAGACUGCAAGUCUCAACAUGAUCAUACAAUGGUUCCACAUAGAAAUCUGCAGUUAGAAAUCGGAGGCAAGGCCUGUUAUACAUGCCUAAACAAAUAAAACCAACAAUUUAAGAUGUCACAGGAAAUGACUGUAAGCAGGAAGAUCCUCUGGUUCAUAGAAAUCAGAGUGGAAUGUAUCUCAAUCCAUGACCUGCCGAGACAGCUGUUCUCUCUGGGACAACACAGCUAAGAAAACCCAGGAUGAAGUAUAUGAGAGUUUGAAAUGUUAGCAGUGGUAUAAGCACGAGUAGUGUGGAUUGGGCUUGGGCGUUUUUACCACCAUGUGACUACUCUGGUGUGAAACUGCCUAUAAAGGCCAGCUAUUGCUGACAACCAUGCUCAGUUGUGGUUUAAAUUUGUAGUGGACAUGAAAUGUCAAUAAAUUCAGUACGCCAGAGCACUAUGCUUGCUCUUCUACCAUCUUCACCCCUUCCUUUAGGCUCUGUUAAUACUACUAAAAAGGGGAUUUAACAGUGAUUAAAUUCCACUACAUCCUCACUGUGUUGUAGCACAAUCUGGCCUGGCCUGUGCAGAUGGAGCCAAAUGGUAUG